rnacentral:rRNA from 1 species
GAUGAACGCUAGCGGCAGGCAUAAUACAUGCAAGUCGAACGGGAUCACAAGCGCUUGCGUUUGUGUGAGAGUGGCGCACGGGUGCGUAACACGUAUGCAACCUACCUUCAACUGGGGAAUAGCCCGGAGAAAUUCGGAUUAAUACCCCAUAAUAUUCAGACACCGCAUGAGGUUUGAAUUAAAGCAUUGUGGUUGAAGAUGGGCAUGCGCGACAUUAGCUUGUUGGUGAGGUAACGGCUCACCAAGGCUGCGAUGUCUAGGGGGUCUGAGAGGAUGUCCCCCCACACUGGUACUGAGACACGGACCAG